rnacentral:rRNA from 1 species
UACGUAGGGGGCUAGCGUUGUCCGGAUUUAUUGGGCGUAAAGAGCGUGUAGGCGGCCAGGUAGGUCUGCUGUGAAAACUCGAGGCUCAACCUCGAGAUGUCGGCGGAAACCAUCUGGCUAGAGUCCGGAAGAGGAAAGUGGAAUUCCUGGUGUAGCGGUGGAAUGCGUAGAGAUCCGGAAGAACACCGGAGGCGAAGGCGGCUUGCUGGGCUCAUGUCUGACGCUGAGGCGCGAAAGCGUGGGGAGCGAACAGG